UUAUUCCCCUCUCCGUCUAAAAAUCCCCAACCAGGACAAACCCCCUCUCUCUCUAGAACCCCCAAAUCCCUCCCGCUCUCUCUCUCAUCUCUACGCCGCCGCUCACCAAAACCUCCAGACCUCCCUCAACCCCGACGGAUCCCUCUCCCGCCGCGCCGAGAUCCUCCUCAUCCCCCCUCCUCCUCCAUCUCCACCGCCGGCGUUGCCCUCUCCAGGUUUCUCUUUGUGUUAGGAGGUUGGUUUAUACCAAUGAUCAGGGAGAGAUUGUUAAGGGGGUUUGCUCAAAUUUCAUAUGUGACAUGAAGCCGGGAGCUGAAGUGAAGAUUACAGGACCGGUUGGGAAAGAAAUGCUUAUGCCCAAAGAUCCAAAUGCAACUAUUAUAAUGGAACCGGAAUUGCUCCAUUCCGUAGUUUCUUAUGGAAAAUGUUCUUUGAGAAGCAUGAUGAUUACAAGUUCAAUGGAUUGACAUGGCUCUUCUUGGGAGUUCCCACAAGUAGCUCAUUGCUCUACAAGGAGAGCUGAGUGUCUCAUGGCAAGAUCUUGAGUUAAUUGCUGACCCAGACAAUACUGAUGCUUUAAAAGUGAGGAUUCUUGUCAUGGAGGAUCAAGGAGGAAGAAACAUGAUGCUUCAACAACUUGGAGGAGUAAAUGCAAUUGGAUUCUAUAAAUUAUGCAAAGUUCAUUAAGUUAUGUAAACAAUUGUAUUCUUUAUAAUCAAUCUAUGUAAAAAAUUUAUGCACCUUUCUAGUAUUUUGGUGAAUGUAUUAUUUGAAUAUAAUUAUAUUUGAUAUUGAAAUAUAAUUAGAUCGAUUGUGUUGGA